rnacentral:rRNA from 1 species
CCCUUAGAUGUUCUGGGCCGCACGCGUGCUACACUGAGUGGAUCAGCGGGUCAGGUUGCGCGAAAGUGUUUCCUAAUCUUUAAAUCCGCUCGUGAUGGGGAUUGACGGUUGCAAUUUUCCGUCAUGAACGAGGAAUACCUUGUAAGCGCGGGUCAUCAUCCCGCGCUGAAUACGUCCCUGCCCUUUGUACACACCGCCCGUCGCUCCUACCGAUUGAAGUUUUCGGUGAGUUGACAGGAGGAUUUUUUUGAAACUGGUUCGCCAGUGGAUUUUAGAUCCAAAUGCCAACGAAUCGAUGGCUUUAGAGGAAGGAGAAGUCGUAACA